UGACCUCGCUUAGGCAGAAGGUAACCAAAACUGGAAAGAUUGCAGAUUCUUUGGCUGGCAUUUUGAAGGUCCAUGACGAACAGGAAUUACAUGACAUACACAGAAAACGUACAACUGUUCUCCAAGCACUUCCUGUGUUUCUGCGAGAGGAUUGGUCUGGAUUUUUAAGAACAUGCAAGGAUAUUGAGGAGGCAAAGCUUGUGAGUGCACCUCUGGCCCUUAUUACAGUGAACAGGGACAACACCAGCCGUCCAGUUCACUACCAACCUGAAAAAUUCUGGGUUGUUAUUGGAAGUGAAGUUGUGAUUAUCCUUCUCAGAUUUGUGGAUGCCCUUGUGGUAAUGUCCAGUCUCAUAUAUGCUCGACCUCUUAGUUAUCUAAGUUAUCUAGUUUGAAUUCUUUCAAAAGAUUUUGUUUAGUUUGGAAGAUGGCAAAUUGUCACCCAGACUGCAGACUCUCAAAAUGAUUUGAUGGUAAAUACAGCUAGAAACUGAUCAGAGAAAAUGCAAACAAUAUUGAUGUCUAACCUUUAGAGAAGUGUAUUGAAAAAUUGCACUUGUGGAAAUGAGUUUGAUAUGUAAUAUACGGAGUCACAAUAGUUGUUAAAUGUUGCCUGUUUCACUCUGUCUCGUCACAAAUGUUGUACACGUAUUAAAUUGCCCUUCAGUCUGAAAAUUGUUAGACUCUGUAGCAUAAUGGCACGAUUGGGAACACUAAAAUCCUGUAAUCCAGAGCAUUUGAUCUGACACUGAGAGGUAGCCAUUACAAGUAUAAGAAGGUAAAAUUAAAGAAGGUUAUGUUAUUUUAUGUAACCUGUUGCACUGUCUGUGUAUGUUUUGUAUUUUUAUUACAGCAUUUUAUUAAUGUUGCAGUAAAUGUUCAAAUAAAACUUUUGAAUGACAAUAGUACAUCCCUGAGUUUUAUUUAAUUAA